rnacentral:rRNA from 1 species
UGGGGAAUAUUGGACAAUGGGCGAAAGCCUGAUCCAGCCAUGCCGCGUGUGUGAAGAAGGUCUUCGGAUUGUAAAGCACUUUAAGUGGGGAGGAAGGGCAGUAAGCGAAUACCUUGCUGUUUUGACGUUACCGACAGAAUAAGCACCGGCUAACUCUGUGCCAGCAGCCGCGGUAAUACAGAGGGUGCAAGCGUUAAUCGGAAUUACUGGGCGUAAAGCGCGCGUAGGUGGUUCGUUAAGUUGAAUGUGAAAGCCCCGGGCUCAACCUGGGAACUGCAUCCAAAACUGGCGAGCUAGAGUAGGGCAGAGGGUGGUGGAAUUUCCUGUGUAGCGGUGAAAUGCGUAGAUAUAGGAAGGAACACAAGUGGCGAAGGCGACCACCUGGGCUCAUACUGACACUGAGGUGCGAAAGCGUGGGGAGCAAACAGG